rnacentral:rRNA from 1 species
GAUGAACGCUGGCGGCGUGCUUAACACAUGCAAGUCGAGCGAAGCGGUUUAAAUGAGACUUCGGUGGAUUUUAAACUGACUGAGCGGCGACGGGUGAGUAACGCGUGGAUAACCUGCCUCACACAGGGGGAUAACAGUUAGAAAUGACUGCUAAUACCGCAUAAGCGCACAGCAUCGCAUGAUGCAGUGUGAAAAACUCCGGUGGUAUGAGAUGGACCCGCGUCUGAUUAGCUAGUUGGUGAGGUAACGGCUCACCAAGGCGACGAUCAGUAGCCGACCUGAGAGGGUGAACGGCCACAUUGGGACUGAGACACGGCCCAA